rnacentral:rRNA from 1 species
AGUGAACGCUGGCGGUAUGCCUAACACAUGCAAGUCGAACGGCAGCACAGUAAGGGCUGGCGCUGACGGGUGGCGGGGGGCGGAAGGGUGAGGAAUGCAUCGGGAUCUACGUUUUCGUGGGGGAUAACGGAGGGAAACUUACGCUAAGACCGCAUACUACCUGCGGGUGAAAGCAGGGGAUCUUCGGACCUUGCGCGAUGGAGUGAGCCGAGGUCGGAGGAGCUAGUUGGCGGGGUAAAGGCCCACCACGGCGACGAUCCGUAGCUGGUCUGAGAGGAUGAUCAGCCAAACUGGACCUGAGCCACGCCCCAGACCCCUACGGGAGGAAGCAGUGGGGAAUAUUGGCCAAUGGGCGAAAGCCUGAUCCAGCCAUACCGCGUGGGUGAAGAAGGCCUUCGGGUUGUAACGCCCUUUUGUCGGGACAGAAAAGCCGCAGGUUAAUCACCCGCUGUUCUGCCGGUACCCAAAGAAUAAGCACCGGCUAACUUCGU